rnacentral:sRNA from 1 species
AAAUAAAAAAUUCGUGCCAAAGACAGUAAGUGGCGAACGCCUUAAUUUCUUACCGAGGAACAGAAAAAAGAGAUUGCUAUCCCUUGUGUUGUUCCCAGCGCAAGGGUUUUUUAUUU